rnacentral:rRNA from 1 species
UGGUGGGUAGUUUGACUGGGGCGGUCUCCUCCUAAAGAGUAACGGAGGAGCACGAAGGUUGGCUAAUCCUGGUCGGACAUCAGGAGGUUAGUGCAAUGGCAUAAGCCAGCUUGACUGCGAGCGUGACGGCGCGAGCAGGUGCGAAAGCAGGUCAUAGUGAUCCGGUGGUUCUGAAUGGAAGGGCCAUCGCUCAACGGAUAAAAGGUACUCCGGGGAUAACAGGCUGAUACCGCCCAAGAGUUCAUAUCGACGGCGGUGUUUGGCACCUCGAUGUCGGCUCAUCACAUCCUGGGGCUGAAGUAGGUCCCAAGGGUAUGGCUGUUCGCCAUUUAAAGUGGUACGCGAGCUGGGUUUAGAACGUCGUGAGACAGUUCGGUCCCUAUCUGCCGUGGGCGCUGGAGAACUGAGGGGGGCUGCUCCUAGUACGAGAGGACCGGAGUGGACGCAUCACUGGUGUUCGGGUUGUCAUGCCAAUGGCACUGCCCGGUAGCUAAAUGCGGAAGAGAUAAGUGCUGAAAGCAUCUAAGCACGAAACUUGCCCCGAGAUGAGUUCUCCCUGACUCCUUGAGAGUCCUGAAGGAACGUUGA